rnacentral:misc_RNA from 1 species
UGCGUACGCAUUCCUCUGCUGCACACCUCGCUCUUCUGUCUUGUCCUCCUCACGUGCCUAACUGCCCUGAUGACGGGGGUGGGGGGAGGGCACAACCUCACAAGGCGUAACGUCUCAGAGUCCAGUACUCAACUCUGUGGGCAAGCCAAGCAGCCUCUCCCCCCUAUCCCGGCCAGAUGCCAGAGCGCUUCUGUUGGUGAAAGGGUCAUGCAUCCACGGCGUAGAGAGAGGUCAGAGUGAUGCUUACCGCUACGCACGUCGGCGAGGAGGCCCUGCGCGGCGCUGCGUCGGAGCGGCCGGCGGCAGUGCCCACAGCUUGUGCCACCCCUAUGAUCGGGCAGCGUGUCCGCGCGACUCGAAUGUAUCCUGCCGCCGGCCUUCAGCACUGCCUCCUGGUGUGGUGGAGGGCCUGAGUGUCACGCCUACUGGACUGCACCAGAGGUGGCGACCGGCGUGAUGGGGGAGCGGCUGUGAGGCGACCUGCGACGCGGCGGGUGGGUGUGGGUACAGGUUUAGGCAGGGGGCCGUGCUCUCGCAUGACCGCGUCGGCGCAUUGCUGCAGCGCGCGCGCCUAGGCCUGCUUCGUGCCGCGCAAUGGAGGCCUGCGCCAGGGCGAGGUGGGGUGGAGCUGGACUACUCUUCUAUGGUAGUACGAAGACCCGCCGAAGAUGAAAGUAUCGAUCCCUCUGCUUGUCACUGGAAGCGCUUGCCUCCUCUUCCCUUGGUCUUUGGCGGAGGAAGCUCCAAAAUUUUGUUGGGCCGGCUUCCAGGCAGGACGCACAGGCACUUUUGUGAGUGUGAUGUGUGACAACUCUCUUUCCUCACUGCUGUGUUGGAAUGCCCACUGCUCUAACCAUCCUGUCUCUGAGUUCACGUCAGUCGUACCAUU